CUUUUCCAGAAUCUGCUGUUUGUGCAAAGCCUAGCCAAGGGCCACUUUUAUCCAGGCCUGGAGCAGGCAGGUUGAGGCAGGUUUUAAAAAGCACUUUAUGAGGCUUUCAAAGGUACCCACGGGGAAAGGAAGUGAAAGGAGUUGGGGGGUGGGCGCGGGAGCAGUGAUGCUGGAGGAACAGCAUCUUUAUUUCUAGCCCCGCCUGAGCGGCUUCUUGACAGUUACCACUCUGGUUUUGCUGAGUCAGAAGAACCCCUCAGCUGCUUGCCGGAAACACAGCUGUUAGGCGAAAAUAACCACAGAAGCCAGCAACAUGUACCUUCCAGAAACCGCAAAACAAAAGAGAAAGAUACAAGCACAGACAUUACUGACCAGGCUGGGUGGAGUUCAGGAGCAGCAGCACUGAGGACUCCCGGCAUAAGGGAGGAGUCCUUCCUGGAGAUCUGUCUCUGCCCCAGGCCAGGACCUAGAACUCUGGGGGAGAGCACCGAUUCCCCAGUGACAUGAUGCCUAAGGUGGGACUCUCCCAAAGUUCCCAGUGGAUACCUCUGGAGCAGGUGCCUUACCCCUGAGGCAUCACCCACCCAACUUGGUGUGGUUAUUUUUGAUUCCUGUGUUUGCUUUUGUGUCCAGUUACCCCUGGCUCCCCAUACUCUUAUCUGUUUUUUUUCCCUUCCUUGUUCUUCAGUUUGAAUGAUGCCUGCCAUGGCAUUAAAUGUAUUGAUAUUGUAUCAAUAUGCUAUUAAACUAGUGAAAAUCUUUAAA